AGUCACUAAUACAUGCAAGUCGGACGGGAUUCCGAUUAUAGCUUGCUAUUUCGGAUGAGAGUGGCGCACGGGUGCGUAACGCGUGAGCAACCUACCCAUGUCAGGGGGAUAGCCCGUUGAAAGACGGAUUAAUACCGCAUAACACAUAUUUACCGCCUGGUUUAUAUGUCAAAUAUUUAUAGGACAUGGAUGGGCUCGCGUGGCAUUAGCUAGUUGGUAAGGUAACGGCUUACCAAGGCGGUGAUGCCUAGGGGCUCUGAGAGGAGUGACCCCCACACUGGUACUGAGACACGGACCAGACUCCUACGGGAGGCAGCAGUAGGGAAUAUUGGUCAAUGGGCGGGAGCCUGAACCAGCCAUGCCGCGUGCGGGACGAAGGCCCUACGGGUCGUAAACCGCUUUUACACGGGAACAACCGCCGGUACGUGUACCGGCCUGAGUGUACCGUGGGAAUAAGGAUCGGCUAACUCCGUGCCAGCAGCCGCGGUAAUACGGAGGAUCCGAGCGUUAUCCGGAAUUAUUGGGUUUAAAGGGUGCGUAGGCGGCACUUUAAGUCAGGGGUGAAAUACAGCGGCUCAACCGUUGCAGUGCCCUUGAUACUGAAGUGCUUGAAUGUGCCCGAAGGAGGCGGAACGGGACAAGUAGCGGUGAAAUGCAUAGAUAUGUCCCAGAACCCCGAUUGCGAAGGCAGCUUCCUAGAACAUAAUUGACGCUGAUGCACG
rnacentral:rRNA from 1 species